CCACCAAACAUCGCUGUUUUUUCUCACCUCCUCGCGCAUACCCGCUUGCGUACCCGCUCGACACAGCCUCCCAACCCUCCGUGAAAUCAGCCAAUUUAGUCAAUUCAAUUUGGAAGCAAUCCACCGCUUCCAUUCUCCUCCCGAUCCUCGACGCCCCUACACCUCCCCAUCUGCACUGCGAGGGCGAGGGGAGGCCGGGUGGGAUGAUGAGGCGGAGCAGGGACGCCGGUGAGGGGCGGAUGGCGUCUGGCGAGGCCGCACUGGCGCGGCCGGCGAAGUGAGGUGCAGCACGCCGGUGGAGGGGCGGAUGGUCGGGCCAGCGCAGGGAGCCGUGCACCAUUAGAGGGGCGGAGGGCGAGGCGGCGGCACGGCGCAGGGAACAUGCCCCGCGGCCGACGAAGCGCCGCGAGGAACUUCUGGAGGGGCGGACCGGUGGAGGUUCGGGAUGGUACAGGGAUGGCGGAGGUUCCGGAUCCGCAUCGCCAUGCCGCGGCUACCCCUCCCCAUAUGCAAGGAGCUCAAGCAGCGGUCCGGCGCUCGAUUUCGUCGCGUGGAGGCGAAGCUGGCCACCAGGUACGCAUGACGCUCCAAAUUCGCCGCCGCCAAGUAAGACGCGUACCAACUCCAUGAGUCAAAGACCUCUGUGGGCCGCCUCGCUGAGAAGCACUCCGCACCCGCUUCAGUAUCCGGCGCGGCGUCGGCGCCACCCUCCCCCAACGUGCUCCCGGAGAUCCUCCGCCACACCGUGCCCAUCAGAGGGCCGCCUCGCUGAGAAGCUCUCUGCAACCGCGAGCGUCCACCCCGACGCGCUCAACCUGCUCCUUUCCUACGUCUCGCUGCUGCAGGCCACCUUCGGCUCAAAAAGGUAUUAGCCUCUCCCAGUCUCUCUCCCAUUGUAUUGUGUACACAGAUAAUUUCCAGCAGGCGUGAAGUGAAAAAAACAAAUCAAUACCAAUUUACAUGUACACUAUAGUGGCACACGUGAAGUGAAAAGAACAAAUCAUCAUAUUUUAUAUGCAAACGAUGGUUAAAAAAGAAACUUUCAUUCAGAUAGGAUCAUCUUUUUCUUCGGAUUCUUUUUUCAGAAGUGCUCAACAUAACCUUAUCAAGCUUAUUUAGUAUCCUGUCGAUGUUUGCUCUUGUUUGCAUACUUUGAAAGCAACAGCUUUCUGUCCACUAUGAUUAUCAAGCGUAUUAAGUAUCAUGUGCUUUGGUGAUUGAUUCAUGUGAGCAGUGAUUAUCAAGCUUUAGUUGCUGCUAUUCUUCUCGGUAAUUUUUAAAUGCCAAGCAGGCUCCUCUGGUGGUUGAUAAUUAUAGAUUCAUGUGUAGAGAUAUUACAUAUGUUUACCUUGUUGGAAGUAGUACUUGUUUAGCAAAAUGUCGGUUUCCUCCCAUGUAUAGAAAUAGAAGUUAUAAAGAUCAAAAGUAGUACACAGGCAACUUUUUAGCUUAUGGUUGUGAACAUUAGUACGUAGCUUUUCACAGAAAGAAAUAAAAUGAUUACAUGGUCAAAAUAGUUAUAUUGAUGGUACCUGAACCAAAACUUGCUUAAGAAUCAUGACUAUGUUCAUGACAUUGUUGCUCUGUCUUGUAUUUAUUCUUUUUUCCAUGAUAUUUUUUAUGAGUGUAUUGUUACAUGUCGAGGAUAUUGCAUAUAUACACCAUAUGUAGGCUACAUUCUAGAAGUACAUCAAGAGAAAUAAUGAGGUGCUUCUACAGGUAUGAUGCUGCUCAGUAUUUUCGAAUAAGCCGAAACAUCCAGUGAGAGUAAUUAUCCUUGAAAUAUGAAAACUGGUCAUUUUGUAAAGCAGGUUCAAUUUUAAAAGGCUCUAUCACAUGGUCUCUGAAUGUCUAGACUCUUGGGUGCCUAUGAUAAUUGUUGUGUGCCUGCAGGGUUCUCUGAGGUCUCUUGUUAGUGGUUAGAUGACAAGAGUGCUCAAAAUGUGGUUGGUGGUUUCUGAAUGGUUCCUAUUGGGGGAAUAUAGAGGCUAGAUAUGCUUUACACUCUUCAGAAAUAUAAUCUUACCAUUAUAUUAUAUUUAGAUAUUCAGUAUAGUAUUAGAUUAUAUAUAUUUAGCUCAAUAUAUUCCAAUCAUGAUGUUUCCUGAGAUAGCAUGGAUUUAUAUAUAAUAAAUCUUAUCUAAACUAAGAUAAGUUCUUGCAUGCUCCUAGACUACAAAAGAGAAAAAACAAUUUUAAGAGGCCAAAGCAUCUUCAUUAAUUCUUUUUAAUUUGGCUUACAAGCUGUCUGUAAAACUUGGUUAUGGUCCGAGAAACACAACUCUAAAUGUCUGCCACUUGAAACUGAGAACCAAAUUUUCCUUUUUAAUACAUUGGAUAUUACAUAUAUGUUUAUUUUUGGGAACCACCUUUUUUUAUGGAGUGUACUUGCAAAAAAUUAGACAUAGAUAUCGUAUCGUCAUCAAUUUUUUGGGUUUCCAUUUCAAUCCCAUGGGUAAGCUUAGUUAUUUAGUAAUAAUAUGAUUUGGAACGAUAUUAAUGCUAUGCGACUAAAUUUGAGUACCAGCAUUUAAAUCAUAGUUUGAUAAUUAUUAGCCUUGCCUAAGUUUCAUCAUUGCUCAUGAUGGCUGAGUAGGACCAAUUGUUCUCUGUCUAGAAUUGUAUCAUGUGCUUCACCCAACUAUGAUAUUAUGCUCUAAAUUUCAGCUACCAUUGCUGCACAUGAGCAGAGAUUAUGGAGCCCGCACUACCACUCUAUGAUGGCAUGUUUUAGGCUAAAAAGCUUGGAUUGUCAAAGGAGUAGCUGCUGGAAAUUCUACCAUGUGUGGAUGGUGCCUUAUUAAAUUAAGAAUACUAUUAGAGAUCCAGAGGACUCCACAAAACCUUAUCCCUGUUUCAACCCAGAAGAUACAUCAAGUUUCAGGGACCUAGAUAAACACGGCAAAUGGUUGAGCAGGUGGGUAAUUGAUCUUGUUUCAUAAUUAUCAUUUGGAUUCACCUAUCCAGCAAUCAUCAAAUUAAAGGCAAGAGAAACUUCUGGUUUUAGGUUUCUAACUCGCAUCUUUGCUGCUUGUAGAGUUUUAGGCUUUUAUCUUUCUGAAAGCUAAAUGACUUCACAUCGUUCAGUAAGGAAAAAAGUCGAGAGACCUCAAUCCGGAAGCUGAAGCUGUAGACGUGGUAUGGUGAACUGCUAAGGAAGCAUCUGCAGUAAUUGCAAGCAAAUCCUGAUUCAGAUUAAGUUUUGCAAGCAAAUUACCUGAAUCUUGAUACAUUUGAUGAGUAGAAAUAACGAAAAGUGUUGUUCAGUGCCAAAUCUCUUAUUAGUGCUAUUGAUAUUGCACUCCUGAUUCGAUUACAAUAACCAGUAAGAUGCUUUGCUCAAUAUGAAGUAUAUCCCUCGAUCUCCAGGGUCGAUUGUACCAGGAUGCUACAUGAGCGCUUCAGUUCGAGCUCAAUCUGCAUACAUGAUUUGUUUCCAAGAAGUCCUUAUGGUCAUUGUGCCUGUCUAACCAAAGACGAGUCAAGGUUUUUUUUGAACCGGGUUUCUUGGCAGGUUUCAUACAGUUUAUUGGCUAGAGUAAUCUCCUGUGACCCAUUCGGUUACCAACUCUCUCAAACGUGUGGUGGUCAUCGUGUCAUCUGUUCUCUUCUUCAGAACUCCACUUUUACCUUGCCUUAGGCAUGU